AGCAGCAUCGAGCCGCAUCAGCACCUUGGUGGCACGGAUCUGCGUGAGCCUCGAUCACCGUCGGCACCUAGGUGUUUGGAUGUUCGGUAGCGUCGAGCCCCAUCGGUACUUUGGUUGUUCAGAUGUGCGGGAGCCUCGAGCAGCAUCGGCACCUUGGUGCUUGGAUGUGCGGGAACCUCGAGCACCAUCGGCACCUUGGUGGCUCAGAUGUGGGGAACCCUCGAGCAGCAUCGUCACCUUGGUGAUGGGAUGUGCGGGAGCCUCGAGCACCAUCGGUACCAUGGUGGCUCGGAUGUGCGGGAGCAUCGAGCAGCAUCGGAAACUUCAUGCUGGGAUGUACGAGAGCCUCGAGGGGCAUCGGCUCCUUGGUGGCUCAGAUGUGCGGGAGCCUCGAGCACCAUCGGCACCUUAGUGCUGGGAUGUGGGGGAGCCUCGAGCCGCAUCGGCACCCUGAUGGCUCGGACCUACGGAAGCCUCGAGCACCAGCGGCACCUUGGUGUUUGGAUGUUCGGUAGCCUCGAGCACCAUCGGUACCUUGGUUUUUCCGAUGUACGGGAGCCUCGAGCACCACCGGUACCAUGGUGGCUCGGAUGUGCGGGAACAUCGAGCAGCAUCGGCAACUUCGUGCUGGGAUGUGCGGGAGCCUCGAGCCGUAUCGGCACCUUGGUGGCUCAGAUGUGCGGGAGCCUCGAGCACCACCGGCACCUUGGUGCUGGGAUGUGGGGGAGCCUCGAGCAGCGUCGUCACCUUGGUAGUUGGAUGUGCGGGAUCCUCGAGCACCAUUAGUACUAUGGUGGCUCGGAUUUGCAAGAGCAUCGAGCAACAUCGGCAACUUCGUGCUGGGAUGUGCGAGAGCCUCGAGCUGCAUCGACACUUUGGUGGCUCGGAUGUGCGGGAGCCUCUAGCACCAUCGGCGCCUUGGUACUGGGAUGUGGGGGAGCCUCGAGCCGCAUCGGUACCCUGGUGGCUCGGACCUGCGGAAGCCUCGAGCACCAGCGGCACCUUGGUGUUUGGAUGUUUGGUAGCCUCGAGCACCAUCGGUACCUUGGUUUUUCGAAUGUGCGGGAGCCUCGAGCACCAUCGAUACCAUGGUGGCUCGGAUGUGCAGGAGCAUCGAGCAGCAUCGGUAACUUCAUGCCUUAGAUGUUCUGGGCCGCACGCGCGCUACACUGAUGUAUUCGACGAGUCUAUAGCCUUGGCCGACAGGCCCGGGUAAUCUUUGAAAUUUCAUCGUGAUGGGGAUAGAUCAUUGCAAUUAUUGGUCUUCAACGAGGAAUUCCUUGUAAGCGUGAGUCAUCAGCUCGCGUUGACUACGUCUCUGCCCCUUGUACACACCGCCCGUUGCUCCUACCGAUUGAAUGGUCCGGAGAAGUGUUCAGAUCGCGGCGACAUGGGCGGUUCGCUGCCCGCGACGUUGCGGGAAGUCCACUGAACCUUAUCAUUUAGAGGAAGGAGAAGUCCUAACAAGGUUUCCGUAGGUGAACCUGCGAAAGGAUCAUUG
rnacentral:ncRNA from 1 species